UUGAAUAAUAAUCAACUUGUUCACCUACCUGACGGGCUGUUCAAAGCCACAACCAAAUUACAAGUACUGUAUUUGCAAAAUAAUAAUCUCCGCUAUCUUCCCGGUGGACUGCCUCAUGACACACCUGAAUUACGUGCACUAGGUUUGGGCGAAAAUCAACUUGUUCACCUACCUGCCGGGCUGUUCAAAGCCACAACCAAAUUAAACGAACUGGGUUUGACAAGUAAUCAACUUGUUCACCUUCCUGCCGGGCUGUUCAACGCCACAACCAAAUUACAAUACCUAUAUUUGUGGAAUACUACACUUGUUGACCUACCUGCCGGGCUGUUUGACGCGACAACCGAAUUGAGAUACCUAGGUUUGGACGAAAAUCAACUUGUUCACCUACCUGCCGGGCUGUUCAAAGCCACAACCAAAUUAAACGAACU